rnacentral:rRNA from 1 species
GACGAACGCUGGCGGCGUGCUUAACACAUGCAAGUCGAACGGAAAGGCCCAGCUUGCUGGGUGCUCGAGUGGCGAACGGGUGAGUAACACGUGGGUGAUCUGCCUCUAACUUCGGGAUAAGCUUGGGAAACUGGGUCUAAUACCGGAUAGGACAAUCGUUUAGUGUCGGUUGUGGAAAGUUUUUUCGGUUAGGGAUGGGCCCGCGGCCUAUCAGCUUGUUGGUGGGGUAAUGGCCUACCAAGGCGUCGACGGGUAGCCGGCCUGAGAGGGUGGACGGCCACAUUGGGACUGAGAUACGGCCCAGACUCCUACGGGAGGCAGCAGUGGGGAAUAUUGCACAAUGGGCGCAAGCCUGAUGCAGCGACGCCGCGUGGGGGAUGACGGCCUUCGGGUUGUAAACCUCUUUCGACAGGGACGAAGCUUUGGUGACGGUACCUGUAUAAGAAGCACCGGCUAACUACGU